CGGUCCGAUUACGCACCGCAAACAGAUCCCUUCCCCGAGUCCCCGAGCCUCCAACCCUUCCCCUCCGCCGCCUCCAGCCCUCGACUGGCCUUGGCUGAUCUCCUUCUCCGGCCACCCCCGUCGGGGUCGGAGGCGUACGUCGAGGCCGACUUCCCCGGCGUCAAGAAGAAGCCCGCCCGCUCCUUCCCCGACACCUCAAGCUUCAGGGCUGUAGGUCCUUGCGCAAUAUCUCGAGCCUGGACAUCCACAUUGUGCUGGCCUGCGUGGGGUUCAAAGAGGACGUGUGUGUGUGUGUCAGAUCCAGCGCCUCACUGUUCAGUGCCAGAGCCAUCUAGUCGUCCUCGUUCUUGCCGUCGAGAAGCAGCACCGGCCAUGCUACCGGAUUAGGAUCUGAAGUGUACUGUAUUUUCGCUUAUCAACCUCCACUUUAACAUUCUUUUUCCCAACAACGGUUCAUCGGUUGUCCUGCUCAUUCCUCUCCUCCCCCAUCGGUUGCGAUGCUUCAAGAUGUCAAUAGCCAGCUGAACAAUGUGACACAAUAUGUGGGUACAAUGGCAGCAUCAAUGGCACGAGAAGCAGCGCAAGAGGAUCCUCAGCAGAAAUCAAAAGAGAAGGCUAUUAGUGAAUUGGCUAGGCUUAGCUUUACCGGGAACGAGAUCGUUGAGGCUGCAACCGUAUUUGCUAAAGCUCCAGAUCAGAUGAACAUGAUGCUUGCGCUUCCAGAAAAUCUGAGGAGGGAGUAUGUCCUAAAAAUGCUCUCCGAUGAGAAAAAGAAGCACGGUUGAUUAGAAAAGAUCGGUGGAGUGGCUGAUCAGAGGAAUGGUCGAUGGAAAAGCUACUUUGCAAGAUUCUGAAAUAGGCCUUUGGACUUGCCUUACAAAAUAAUUUUGGGGACUAAUUAUGUAGUUUAUCUCGAAUUAUUGAUGAAGUCUGAGGAGGUGUUUGUAUUGAUGAGUUAAUAUGCAUUUUAGAAGUGGUGUCAAAAUCUGGUUAAAGGAUGUCUUGGAUGAAUGCAAAAAUAUUUUUAAAUUAUGUACUUGUUUGAUGA